AGAGCAAAGAGCUGAACGUCUUGCCCUAGGACUAAAACCUGGUGUAUUCCUGGCUACAGUUCACUUCCUUUCAAAAUAGAAUCUCCUACCACCAGUACCCCAACUGACAGAAUUAAGUAUUUCUAUUCCCUUUCUUCUGUUACUUGAAUAUAUACCUACCCUGUGGCCAUUGCAUUUAAUUUGCAGUUGUUCACUUGCAUGUCCAUCUUCCUAUGACAUUGUUACUUAAAGAGAAGGACCAGAUCUUUUCUUCUUAGUUCCCCUUAGAGUCCAGCAAAAUUCUCUGUAUGUAGUAGGUUCUUGGUAGCCAAACAGAAUGAAUAUGUGAAUGAAUGAGCAGUUUGAAUUCUUUAGGUCUGUAGCACUGAAUCAGGCUACCUGGAGUAACUCUUCUCUAGGUUCCACCUUUUCCUGACCCUGCAGACCUCAGGACAGCACACUGACUUUCACUGACAGAAGAGACAGACGUGCUCCAAAACAAAACCACCAAGACACACCACAGAAUACUUGAGAAUGUGUUCCUCUAAAAUCCCUGGCCUGACUGGAACAACCUCAGGCCUAUGUGACAUAACAGCUGAGGAAAGCAGGAGCAAAAGAGGAAUGACAGAAAAUCUGUUCUUCUCAUCCCAAGGUCCCUGACUCCUCUUACCAGCCGUGGUCAUCAUCCUUAGCCCACAGAUCCUCGGCUAGGAGGCUGUUUGUGGCAUGAUUCCUUACUGGGUGAGAGUUGGCAGAUUGCAUCUCAACAGGGGAGCUGAGUACAAAGGAAACACGGAAGGUGGCUGCUUUCAGGAGCACCAACAUGUACCACGGAACAAAAGUUUGAGACUUGCAACUGGCUGAGCUUGUGGACAGGGUCCUUCUUCAUCUGGUGAGCAGCAUCCUUGGGUUCCGAACCUCAUUUCUAGUUAGGAAACUAGUGGUCUCAGGCAGAGAGGCCGCAGACUCUCCAGGGCCUCUAUCCCUUGGGACUCCUGCUUGACAGCUGCCUUCCUACUCUCCAGCACAGACAUCAGACUGCCACUGGUUUUUCUUUAUUCCUUCCCUGAGGCAUAUGGAAGUUCUCAGGCCAGGGACUGAAUCUAAGCCAUAG
rnacentral:lncRNA from 9 species